rnacentral:rRNA from 1 species
GAUGAACGCUGGCGGCGUGCCUAAUACAUGCAAGUCGAGCGAACGGACGAGAAGCUUGCUUCUCUGAUGUUAGCGGCGGACGGGUGAGUAACACGUGGAUAACCUACCUAUAAGACUGGGAUAACUUCGGGAAACCGGAGCUAAUACCGGAUAAUAUUUUGAACCGCAUGGUUCAAAAGUGAAAGACGGUCUUGCUGUCACUUAUAGAUGGAUCCGCGCUGCAUUAGCUAGUUGGUAAGGUAACGGCUUACCAAGGCAACGAUGCAUAGCCGACCUGAGAGGGUGAUCGGCCACACUGGAACUGAGACACGGUCCAGACUCCUACGGGAGGCAGCAGUAGGGAAUCUUCCGCAAUGGGCGAAAGUCUGACGGAGCAACGCCGCGUGAGUGAUGAAGGUCUUCGGAUCGUAAAACUCUGUUAUUAGGGAAGAACAUAUGUGUAAGUAACUGUGCACAUCUUGACGGUACCUAAUCAGAAAGCCACGGCUAACUACGU